AGGGUAAUUAUGGUAUCCACCGUCCUCCAAAACUUCAGAAGUUAUUAUGGAUGAGAGAAAGGCACUAGCAAGUAUGACAACAAAAUCUCCUUAUCUCAAGGAGAUUAUUGAUGUUGCUGCUUAUAGGUCAAAAGAGUGGGAAGAAACAAUGGGUGAUGAAAGCAAAGAAUUUGUGAAUUACAGGCGAAAGAGAGAGAAGCAAGAGAAAGCAAGAGGAGCUGUUCUCUCAAGCUCCAGAAACCAAUGUCAAAAGUACAUCGAGAAGAUGAAGAAGCAACUUCAUGGGUUAUAAGGCGUAACUCUCCCUUGGCUUAUUACACUUAUCUAAUGAGGCAAUAUUAAGAAUUUGAUACUUGCUUGAGUCAACACGCGUCAGCGCCGGGUUUUGAUGGUUUCGGGGACAUGGAAAACAAAUGUAGCACACUUGUGCUUGAUAUUUAAGCUAAACCAUGUCUAGGAAAGAAGAGGUCAAGUGAUGCCAGAAAACAGCGAGCAUGGCGCGCAACGCACCUGUCGGGACAGGCUGCCAGAGCGGUGUUCAUGACGACUGCUGCAACUUGGGGAGAGACUUCUGCAUUGAUGUACAACAAGUUUCCUGAAGCCAGGGUGCCAAGUGACAUGGUUUGAAAGGAGCAUUAUUUCUUCCUAUAAAUGAUCUGAAAGGGGCAAACCAAUCCUGCUCGUCCAAUCCCAUGCGACAGUACUUUUUCCAGCCCCACUUUUCACAGCAACCGUUGGAUGCAGUGAUUUCUUUUUGCACAUCUGGCUCGUCUAGAUGGGUCAAUGAUGGCUGGGACCAGGCUCUUGCGGUGCCGGCAGACAGAGGCAGCCAUGAUGCUUGUUUUGUGUCGUCUUCCUUCCCGUACCCGCAUGUACUCUAUCCAACUCCAUAUGCUAUUUCUCAAAUAUGUGCGCCCUCCCGUUGGGCCAUGGAAUCCUCGAAGGUUGGGGAAGAACUGCAAAUAAAUAACCACAGUAUAUGGUUCUCAUCCUCCCUCAACUCAGAGAUUUCUGCAAGGAGCUGGUGGAAGGGUGCUCGUCUCUGGACAGCUCCUGCUUCUCCAUCUCCACGGUCUCUGGUGGCAUCACCAAGCUAUAUUGUCAUAUAACUUAAUGAAUGCACCACUGUAAGAUUGCUUGCUGGUACUAUUUAUCAAGGCGGGUGAUGGCGGCAGCAGCGGCCUCGGGUGGUGGAGGAUGGUGUCUGUCGAGGCACC